AAAUAUAUGUAUACUAAUAUUUGAACGCGUAACAUUUUAUUCACACAGUCCUGGAACUUAUGUCGGUAAAUAUUUCGAUAUUUGUAAAUUUUGAAACGUGGAUAAAGUUCCUUAAAAACAAGUUAUUUUUAUAAGAUCAUACGGUAGUUGAACAGAUAAUAGGAUAAAAAUAAUUUCUGUCGGAAAUUAUUUUUUAUAAAAGCAUGUCUUUAACAUAUAAAAAGGAUAAAUGGGGCUUCUGCAGCCAAGUGAUCAAGGUGACUCAAAUCGGAUCAAUGUAGACCAAACCUGUCGCAGUAACUUUAAAUCCAACAAAUACAAAACAAGUAUGAUAACAUAUGCCUGAUACACAUAUGUUUCUGAAGGGUUAUGGUAACUUUAAAUAGACCUACGAUGCAUCCAAAUCCUAUCAGUGGUGUGCCUCAAAAUGUAGCAUUGCGAUUUGAUUGUGACUACCAAUAUUUGGAAGGUAGUGUAAUACCUAGUGCGCUUGAUACGUACACAACCACAAAUCAUAUCAAUAGGUUAUUGUUGUUAGACACUAAAAACAGACAAAUGAAAAAAUAAAAAAGGCAUUAUGAUCAAGUCGCUCCUCUGACUUUGACCUUUUAACCUUGAAUAUAUGGCAGCCCUAAAAUGCAUAAAAGCGGGAUUUAUUAAAUAAAUCUGGCAAAGGUUAAUCAAUGAUUAUUCUGUCCAAAUUUGGUGUGGCUCCCGUUUAAGAUCCAACAAAUUGAAUUUCGUUUGUUAUUUUAUGAAACCUCGACGAUUACCUCCGAACAUCCCUCAUGUUAAAAACACUUAGUGCGUUUGAGCUAUCGUUGAAGGUCAUUUACGCACGUCAGAAUUCAAUAUUUUAGUUUAGUUUUAUUUAUAAUCCAUGGCAUAUAAUAUGCAUGUGGAUAAAACAAGUGAAAUAAUGAAAUAGUCAUAAAUCAAUAUUGUACAAAAUAUUGUACAAAAUGCGGUACAAACUAAACAUGUCAGAUAUAUUGUUAUUUCUAUACAGAUGACUCCGAACCCUCUUUGCUACUUCCAUAGGAGAAUUAAUUCCCAUCCCCCACGCGCCCUUUCACAUCAGUUACAUAUUAGUCAUGCUAUGUCCUGAUGUCAUUAAAACUGUGAUAAUGCGUUGUAUUCCACAGUCCUAUAAAACUCAAAAACAUGCACCGUUGCAAUGCCGUUUGUUUACUACCAUGAAACCACAAAUUAUGUUGCUUUCAUUUUGAGGCGUAAGAUAUCACUAACUGUACUAGGUCGACGUCAUUGAAAAUGUAAAAACAAAGGAUCAAGAACGCGAUAAAGGGUCAUAUAUAAUAUGAUAAGAACGCUUAAAGUUAAAUGCAGUAAAGUAGAAAGAACUGAAGUAUUAAAACAUUAUGUAAAUAAAACUAUUGUUAUUCCGCAGCAUAUUAUUAUUGGAGACUUUUAUAUUUUUGGCUUAUACUGAAGACUGUGGCGGACUAAGGAGAGAAGUUGAACUCUUGAAAGAAGAAUUGUCAAAUCUGCGUCAAUAUACGUCUCAAAGAAUUAAAGAUUUGGAGAAUAAACUAGAGGCAGAGAGAAGCAAACGAUAUCUUGUAGAUGGAGAAUUAGACAUUGAAAGAGAAGUUACCAAGCUUAUUGGAGAUGUUAAUGGUAUAAAACAAGGUAUGGGCAGUUCAUAUGUCAGGUGGGGACGAACACAGUGUGGAGCAAAUGCUAGUAUAAUUUAUAAAGGAUACACAGGAGGGAAAUAGUACACAGAUACGGAGGUCCUGCUAAUUAUGUAUGCAUGCCAGAAGAUCCUCAAUGGGCAAAAUACCUGGACGGCUUUCAAGAUAUCGGCAACCGGAUGUACGGCACAGAAUAUGAAGACAACUACGAGUCCACGUUCAAUCCAUUCAGUGUCCAUAGAGAUAACGAGGACGCCCCCUGUGUCGUCUGCAAGUUGCAAAGGGCGAUAACUGUAAUGAUACCUGCCAGAACAAGCUGUUACACUGGCUGGCAUCUGGAAUACACGGGCUACCUAAUGACUAUGAGUAGGCAGUUUCACUCUUCUAGCGAGUUCAUCUGUGUUGAUAAAGACCCAGAGGCUUUAGUUCAUGGUAGCCAGGAUGAGAAUGGCAACCUGUUGUACAUUGUCGAAGCAGCAUGUGGGUCUCUUCCUUGCGGUCCAUAUGUAAAUGGAAGAGAAUUGGCAUUUGCUGUAUGUAGCAAAUAAAACGUAACAAUUAAAGUACAAAAUAUUUGUUGUGGUAUAUAUUAAUGUCCUCUCUUUUCAACGCCGAAAUACAGAUUGCCCUUGAAAAUGCGACAAUGAAAUGGCAGAAUACUUUAGCAAUACGUAUUUUCGUACAUUUCACUGUCUUGUUUCGUGAGGAUUUUGCUAGUAUGUUGUUAAAGACGCAUGUUGUGUUUUGAUUGAUUCCUUUCAUGCAUUGUAACUGUACUUUAAGAAGUGUAGUGUAACGUUGAUUUAUAUGUAGGAUUUGCUAUUCUAACUUCAAUAUCAUCGUCACACAAAUAGCCAUGUAUACCUUUCGACCAUUUAACUAUAAAGCUUGUUAAUGCGAAAAAGAAUAUAUUUCAAACUCUUGUCCAGUGUAACAGAAAGCAAACAGUGAAAGAUUAUCUGGAACACUUUAUGUCCAAACAAUAAUUCAGUUAAUAAAAUUCGGACGUCUUUUAAGUAUUUUACACAGCUCGAACAAAUAACGGUUUAGCCUCUGUCGAUAACACAUUGAAGAUUAUAUACUUCUCAGCAUGGUUUAGACUAGUCACGUAAUUUAAGUUUUGUAGAGCAACAAUUUCCUCCUAAGCAGUUCUUCUCCCAAGGCUUCAGUAGACUGAUUUGCUUCUUGCAAGCUGUUUGUUCAUAUACCCAUUAGUACUGGUGUACUAAGUAUGUAAUUGAACACAUGUGUCAAGCCUCUUGUUUCAGGUUUGCGUAAAGAAGUUAUAUAAUAGAUAACUGUAUACGUAGUAGUUUUCAAUUGACGACAGGUAUUCAAAUUGUUCUAACUUAGAAGGUACACGGUAACAUGAAGAUGUCAGAUGCCAAACGGUCAGUUUGAUCUAUAACUCUGUUAUAAAACAUAAAGGGGUUUUACAAAAGUAAUUAUUAUCAUGAUGAAAUAAAAUCACAUUACACGCUAUACACCCAUGUCUUUAGAUCAGAGACCACCAAUUCAAAAAAGUACAGGGAACUUACUGGGAAUGAGGUAAGUGUAUACCUGGGAAUAAGGUAACGUCUGUGCGUUCUGAUUGGUCAGUCA
rnacentral:misc_RNA from 1 species